UUUAACCCUAAUUUCACAACUAUCCAAAUUCUCAGUUUCAAUNNNNNNNNNNNNNNNNNNNNNNNNNAGCUCUCAGCGUAGAGAGGUGGCUACAUUGAGUACUCGUUCGGCACAGCUAGAGGCUGACCUGGACAUGACCAAAAGACAGCUAUCUACUGAGCGGUUUGAGAGGGAGAGGGCAGUGCAGGAGCUGCGUCGUCAGGGUCUGUCGUCAUCGUCCUCUGGACUGCAUCCCUCCUCCCCUCACCUGCGUCGCUCCCUCAGCCCCAGCAGGCCUCUGUGGUCCACCCCAGACCACCUGGCCAGAGAGAGAUCCCCAGAGAGGAGCCUGGGGUUCAAGGACCUCUACGACUGAACAGAUCUCUCUCUAGAGGAAAGAUAACCCAACCUUCUCUCUAGUCCUCACUGUGCUGUGAUGUCAUUCUUCAACUCAAACCUGUGAUGUCAUGAUCAGGACCUCAGGUUCAGAACAACCCUCCUAGACCGGAAAUAGUUUCAACAAGUGUUAUCUCAAAUGUAUGUUUUAUUACAUUGUACAAAUGAACUGACAUCACUGUGUUUGGUUGUGUAUUGAUCUGUAAAAUGAGUGACCAUUCAGUAUAUUUUUGAUGAAGAUUUGAUUCAAAUGAACUACAGCUAAAAGAGGGAAAUGAUGUUCUUUCAUUAAUGUAUUCUAUUUUUUGUAAACAUUUCUGAGAGAAGGGCUUUAAUAAAAAUAAUAAUUUUUGUUCUGGUUUACUUUUCAGUCAUAAGUCAGUUGAACCUUGCAGAAUGGUACUGUAGGCUACAUGUUCAACUGGCCACUCAGUGUGUCUCUUCCCCUGGGUUGCUUUGUUCUCUAAAUCAUAGAUGGGAAACUGGUGGUCUGUACAACCCCCCUUUUGUAGGCCCGCGGAUCAAUUUACAAAAUGUGUUAUUUUGAUUUAUUGUUGCUGGGGUCUCAACUUACUGUUGAGAGUUAGAAUAGUAGACGGUGCAAUUAUGCAUCAGUAGUUUUUCUCUUGUAAUGUCAGUCACUGACGGUC
rnacentral:lncRNA from 1 species